rnacentral:rRNA from 8 species
ACCCUUUAAUGUUUGAUGUUCUAACGUGGACCCGUAAUCCGGGUUGCGGACAGUGUCUGGUGGGUAGUUUGACUGGGGCGGUCUCCUCCUAAAGAGUAACGGAGGAGCACGAAGGUUGGCUAAUCCUGGUCGGACAUCAGGAGGUUAGUGCAAUGGCAUAAGCCAGCUUGACUGCGAGCGUGACGGCGCGAGCAGGUGCGAAAGCAGGUCAUAGUGAUCCGGUGGUUCUGAAUGGAAGGGCCAUCGCUCAACGGAUAAAAGGUACUCCGGGGAUAACAGGCUGAUACCGCCCAAGAGUUCAUAUCGACGGCGGUGUUUGGCACCUCGAUGUCGGCUCAUCACAUCCUGGGGCUGAAGUAGGUCCCAAGGGUAUGGCUGUUCGCCAUUUAAAGUGGUACGCGAGCUGGGUUUAGAACGUCGUGAGACAGUUCGGUCCCUAUCUGCCGUGGGCGCUGGAGAACUGAGGGGGGCUGCUCCUAGUACGAGAGGACCGGAGUGGACGCAUCACUGGUGUUCGGGUUGUCAUGCCAAUGGCACUGCCCGGUAGCUAAAUGCGGAAGAGAUAAGUGCUGAAAGCAUCUAAGCACGAAACUUGCCCCGAGAUGAGUUCUCCCUGAGACUUUAGGUCUCCUGAAGGAACGUUGAAGACGACGACGUUGAUAGGCCGGGUGUGUAAGCGCAGCGAUGCGUUGAGCUAACCGGUACUAAUGAACCGUGAGGCUUAACCUUACAACGCCGAAG